CCUACGGGAGGCAGCAGUGGGGAAUAUUGGGCAAUGGAGGCAACUCUGACCCAGCAACGCCGCGUGAAUGAAGAAGGCCUUAGGGUUGUAAACUUAUGUUGUAAAGGAAGAAAAGAAUGACGGUACUUUACAAGAAAGCCCCUGCUAACGAUGUGCCAGCAGCCGCGGUAAGACAUAGGGGACAAGCGUUGUUCGGAAUUACGGGGCGUAAAGGGAGCGUAGGCGGGGGAUGAAGUUAAGAGUGAAAGCCUUGGGCUCAACCCAAGAAAUGCUCUUACUACUGGUGUACUAGAGUGUGGGGGAGGUAAGUGGAAUUCCUAGUGUAGCGGUGGAAUGCGUAGAGAUUAGGAGGAACACCAGAGGCGAAGGCGGCUUACUGGACUAUAACUGACGCUGAGGCUCGAAAGCGUGGGGAGCAAACAGGAUUAGAGACCCCAGUAGUC
rnacentral:rRNA from 1 species